UCCCUGGUAGCUCAACUGGUAAAGAAUUUGCCUUUAAUGCAGGAGACCCCGGUUCGAUUCCUGGAUUGGGAA
rnacentral:tRNA from 1 species